rnacentral:lncRNA from 1 species
AAGAGAGUUCGAACAUACAUGUCAUGUAUGAACUCUAAAGUUGCAAUAUGCAAAGUAGUCUUUUGACCUGAGGCAUCAUAGAUGUCUAAUGGUUAGGUCCUUGAUCUUUAAUCAUGUCAACGGCAUUCCCUCGGAGUGUCCACAACAUUGUUGGGGUCAAGCUAUCGAGUCAUGUAGGCAUAUGAAUGCACAACAAGGGAUCUCUAACCUUCCAUGGUGGAAGG